rnacentral:rRNA from 1 species
UACGUAGGGCGCAAGCGUUGUCCGGAAUUAUUGGGCGUAAAGAGCUCGUAGGCGGCUUGUCACGUCGGGUGUGAAAACCCGGGGCUCAACCCCGGGCCUGCAUUCGAUACGGGCAGACUAGAGUUCGGUAGGGGAGUCUGGAAUUCCUGGUGUAGCGGUGAAAUGCGCAGAUAUCAGGAGGAACACCGGUGGCGAAGGCGGGACUCUGGGCCGAUACUGACGCUGAGGAGCGAAAGCGUGGGGAGCAAACAGG